UACAGAGGUCUCAAGCGUUGUUCGGAUUCAUUGGGCGUAAAGGGUGCGUAGGUGGCGCUGUAAGUCGGGUGUGAAAUUUCGGAGCUUAACUCCGAAACUGCAUUCGAUACUGCGGUGCUUGAGGACUGGAGAGGAGACUGGAAUUCAUGGUGUAGCAGUGAAAUGCGUAGAGAUCAUGAGGAAGACCAGUGCGAAGGCGGGUCGUCUGGACAGUUCCUGACACUGAGGCACGAAGGCCAGGGGAGCAAACGGG
rnacentral:rRNA from 1 species